ACGAGACUUAACUGCUAAAUAGUGCGCGAACUUAUGUUUCGUCGCUACUCUAGAGGGACUUUGUGUGUUUACACAGAAGCUUGAGGCAUACAGGUCUGUGAUGCCUUAGAUGUCUGGGCUGCACGCGCGCUACACUGACACGAUCAACAAGUAUUUCCUUGCCCGGUAGGGUUAGGGUAAUCUUUUGAAAUCGUGUCGUGCUAGGGAUAGACGAUUGCAAUUAUUCGUCUUCAACGAGGAAUUCCUAGUAAAUGCAAGUCAUCAGCUUGCGUUGAUUACGUCCCUGCCCUUUGUACACACCGCCCGUCGCUCCUACCGAUUGAGUGAUCCGGUGAGCUGUCCGGACUGCGAUUAGUUCAGUUUCUGUUCUCUUCGCGGGAAGUUCUGCAAACCUUAUCACUUAGAGGAAGGAGAAGUCGUAACAAGGUUUCCGUAGGUGAACCUGCGGAAGGAUCAUUC
rnacentral:ncRNA from 1 species